UGGGGAAUAUUGGACAAUGGGGGCAACCCUGAUCCAGCAAUGCCGCGUGUGUGAAGAAGGUCUUCGGAUUGUAAAGCACUUUCGACGGGGACGAUGAUGACGGUACCCGUAGAAGAAGCCCCGGCUAACUUCGUGCCAGCAGCCGCGGUAAUACGAAGGGGGCUAGCGUUGCUCGGAAUGACUGGGCGUAAAGGGCGUGUAGGCGGUUUGUACAGUCAGAUGUGAAAUCCCCGGGCUUAACCUGGGAGCUGCAUUUGAUACGUGCAGACUAGAGUGUGAGAGAGGGUUGUGGAAUUCCCAGUGUAGAGGUGAAAUUCGUAGAUAUUGGGAAGAACAUCCGGUGGCGAAGGCGGCAACCCUGGCUCCAUUA
rnacentral:rRNA from 1 species